rnacentral:rRNA from 1 species
UACGUAGGGUGCGAGCGUUGUCCGGAAUUAUUGGGCGUAAAGAGCUCGUAGGCGGUUUGUUGCGUCGGCCGGUGAAAAACUUCACGCUUAACGUGGAGCUUGCGGUCGAUACGGGCAGACUUGAGUUCGGUAGGGGAGACUGGAAUUCCUGGUGUAGCGGUGAAAUGCGCAGAUAUCAGGAAGAACACCCGUGGCUAAGGCGGCUCUCUAGUACGGUACUGACGCUGAGACGCGAAAGCGUGGGGAGCGAACAGG